rnacentral:tRNA from 1 species
GGCGCCGUAGCUUAGUUCGGUAGAGCACCAGUCUCAUGAGCUGGGGAUCGGGGGUUCAAAUCCCCCUGGCGCCA